rnacentral:tRNA from 1 species
GCCUCCGUAGCUCAGUUGGUAGAGCAUUAGUUUCGUAAACUAAAGGUCGCGAGUUCGAUCCUCGUCGGGGGCU